rnacentral:rRNA from 1 species
UACGUAGGCGGAAAAUUAAGUCAGUGGUGAAAUCCUGCAGCUUAACUGUAGAACUGUCAUUGAUACUGGUUUUCUUGAAUAUAGUUGAGGUAGGCGGAAUGUGUAAUGUAGCGGUGAAAUGCUUAGAUAUUACACAGAGCACCGAUUGCGAAGGCAGCUUACUAAGCUAUGAUUGACGCUGAGGUACGAAAGCGUGGGGAGCGAACAGGAUUAGAUACCCUGGUAGUCC